UAUCCUCAACCGUUAGAUCUUAUGACUUAAAAACAGAUCUGACGUCUCCAGAUCAUUCACUUAUACCUAUAUACCUACUUUUUUGUUUAAGCUUUUAUCAUUAAUUGCAACAAGUCACAAACCUAGUUAUCUUACGGUUGGCUUCUACUUACACAAAGGAAAUGUUAUUUAUGUCCUAAAUAAAACAGCUGUCCACACAAAGUGUGUCAACUAGACAAUGUGUCUCCAGACGCAAACAGAAGACAAAAUGUGUCUUUUAAUGUAAGCUUCUCAGUUAAAUAACCACAUAAAGUUUUAUAUAUCCGUACUCUUUGUUUUUUAAAUUUUAUCUGUACAUUAUGAGAUGCAAUAUCCUUAAAUAAAAGGGUUUAAACAAUCUGUAAUUAAGAUUGUCCAACCAAAUUUAAGUCAAUAUUUUAUCAAAGAAUCUUCGAGAUCACUGAAUUCACCAAUUGAGCAUCCAGGCCCUCGGAUUCCAUUUGAUGAUCAGUGAUUUGAUCUAAAACCAAUAACAUUAAUCAUUGUAUUUACAUAAUAUGAUCUUAAUCAUAAUAAUGCAUUCUUGGAUCAAUACAAUGAUGUUAAAUAAGUUCAGUGUGGAUACUUGUUUGGUGGGUGACCAUGCCAGGUGUACGGGACAGACAAUUAUCGUAGUGUCACUCUACAUUUAUUUAAAAUUUACGAUGCAUUUAUAAUGAUAUAACAAUACACAUUUGAUAUUUCAAAUCAUCGUGACUGAGUUGAACUUGAGUGUUACAAAAGGUACACUUGGAAUAAGAUCUGUUAGUUUAUUGUAAUAUACUGUAUCUAUUUGUUCGUAUUAGUGUCAGCUUCGCCUAAGCCGGUGACCAGAAACAUGACAUAAAUUAUUUUUGCCACCGAAAAACACAAAGGUUUAAAAAGGUCGAAAAUCAAGUAGUUUAGCUUUGUUCCGCUAAAAAGCUAGAGACUCGAAAAUUCACAGCACAGAUGAAGUAUAAUAUGACGUUUGUGGAUGUCCCCAGAGGAACAGUUUGGUUUCUCCGGCGUUCCGGUCUCGUCUGAAGGUGGCUUUGGGUGCGGCGGUCAUGCAUGUCCUGAUCUUUAGAGGACGAGAUCCGGAUCCAUGCUUCCUCUUGGCUGUGCAGUUCCUAUCUAUCUUUUGUGACCUCAUGGGCUUCCGACAGUUAAACUGGAGGGAGAGGCGGUGAGUCGUUAUGGCGAGUAGACUUUGGCGGAGCUUGAACUGCUGGGCCGAUGAGUAAGCCCGCCGUUUGAGGACGACAGUUGGGUCUUAAAAGGGGUUUCGGCAGCGGCUGACAACGGCAACGGGAGGAGACGACCGGCUCGGCUCCAACAUUCUUUUCCUCCCUCUCGAUGAGUCUCUCCGUUCAUAGUGCUCCACUUCGGUUUUCUUUCUCGGUUCGCUCGGUGCUGCGGCUUGGCUGGUGGGGUUUGUUCCGGUCCUUCUUCGUGUUUCUCCUCGCUUGGCCUUGUCGGAGUUCGUAAUCGGCAAGUGUGUGCUUGCAUCGGCGGCUUCGUUUCAAGUGGAGCUAAGGUUUGCGGAGGCUCUAGGGUUUGGGCCAUUUUGUGGGCCAAUCGGAUUAGGUUUAACUAGUUUCGAGCCCAUUAAGAGUUUUUUCAUGGGCAUGUAGUUGUUGUUUAAUGUUUUUAAAUUGCUGCAUUUUUAUGUAACAAAAAAAUCCCAAAAAUAUUUAAUACUAGGGGAGCCCAGCGCUACGAACCGGAUUUUGAUGAUAAUAUAAAUUUAAAUUAAUUU